rnacentral:snRNA from 1 species
GGAAGUGGGGAGGGGUGGGUGAGGAUGGAGAAGAAGUCAGGCAAGUGUCCUCUUCCCCCUUAUGGCUCCAUAUGUGUCCCUUCCCAAAGCACGUGCUUAAAGGGCAACCUUUCCUGACAGGGGAAAAGGAUCUUUAAUCAAAGGUGUACAAGAAGCGAUGGUCGUCUGUGAGAACCUCCAAAUAACUCUCAAAGGACAGCACAGGAGGGCAAAUGAUUCAAACUUUAGUUCAUAAACUCAUAUGCAGACAU